CAGCUUCACAUUAAAAGCCUCUUGGUGUGGUCGGGGUCUAGGGGGGUAAUACAGCUUCACAUUAAAAGCCUCUUGGUGUGGUCGGGGUCUAGUGGGGGUAAUACAGCUUCACAUUAAAAGCCUCUUGGUGUGGUCGGGGUCUAGUGGGGGUAAUACAGCUUCACAUUAAAAGCCUCUUGGUGUGGUCGGGGUCUAGUGGGGGUAAUACAGCUUCACAUUAAAAGCCUCUUGGUGUAGUCGGGGUCUAGGGGGGUAAUACAGCUUCACAUUAAAAGCCUCUUGGUGUGGUCGGGGUCCAGUGGGGGUAAUACAGCUUCACAUUAAAAGCCUCUUGGUGUAGUCUGGGUCUAGUGGGGUAAUACAGCUUCACAUUGAAAGCCUCUGAUAGGGCCGCUCUCCCUCAGGGUGACGGAGGUCUCUGAUUGACCCCUCAGGGUGACGGAGGUCUCUGAUUGGCCCCUCAGGGUGAUGGAGGUCUCUGAUUGGCCCCUCAGGGUGACAGAGUUCUCUGAUUGGCCCCUCAGGGUGAAGGAGGUCUUGAUUGGCCACUCAGGGUGGAGGAGGUCUCUGAUUGGCCCCUCAGGGUGACGGAGGUCUUGAUUGGCCCCUCAGGGUGACGGAGGUCUCUGAUUGGCCCCUCAGGGUGACGGAGGUCUUGAUUGGCCCCUCAGGGUGACGGAGGUCUCUGAUUGGCCCCUCAGGGUGACGGAGGUCUCUGAUUGGCCCCUCAGGGUGACGGAGGUCUUGAUUGGCCCCUCAGGGUGACGGAGGUCUCUGAUUGUCCCCUCAGGGUGACGGAGGUCUUGAUUGGCCCCUCAGGGUGACGGAGGUCUUUGAUUGGCCCCUCAGGGUGACGGAGGUCUUGAUUGGCCCCUCAGGGUGACGGAAUGGACCCCAGAAACCCCGACCAGGACAGCCUCUUAAUUACGUGUGUGUGUAUGUAUGUGUGUGUAUGUAUGUGUGUGACUGUGUAUGUAUGUGUGUGUAUGUAUGUGUGCGUGACUGUGUUUUUGGCUGCGCGGGUAUGUGUUUGGCUGUUUGUGUUUGUGUGUGUGUGUGUGCGUGUGUGUGUGCGUGUGUGUGUGUGUGUGUGUGUGUGCUGAGGGGUCAAGGACGAUCUUUCCUGCACAAACAAUGACAGGAUCUUUUUUUCCAGUACGGACACACAUGCACGUCAUACGUUAAAAUACACAUGCAUGUACGUGAACACAUGCAGUCUCACACACACACCGACAGAAACACACACACACAAACAAGAAACAGACAGACAUGCACGCACACAAACACAAUGGUGUGGUUCAACAAAGAUACAUGACAUGAAAAAGCACUCGUAUGUAAACGAUGUCCAGCACUGAACUCACAUGCACACACAGACCCGCACACAUACGCACACACACACAAACACACACUUUAUUGGCAGGAAAACACAAGCUGCUCGACCAAAUUGGAAUCAGUUUCCUGAGUCCCCGACAGACAGAACAUCAUCCCAUCACCUCCUCACUAUCAAUCCCUCCUUGUUUACUCCACACACACACGCAGCGCACAUACACACACACACACUCAAACUAACGCACACAUGAACACCCACACUCACACCCAGUCUAAAUGUGUGCUGCUUGAUAGCUUGUACUUCCAGAGGAAACAGAGGGUCAAACAGCCCAUGUGUUUCCUGUCCUCCGGACCCACCAGGCCUAUCCCAGCCCUUCCUCUGGCCACUGUCGUUCAAUCAGAGGCCGUCUUUGUGGCUAAUGACGAGAGCCAUAUGUCACAACCCUAUUGGAGUCAGCCCUGGUUGUCACACAAUCCAUCCUGUGUGUGUGUGUGUGUGUGUGUGUGUGUGUGUGUGUGUGUGUGUGUGUGUGUGUGUGUGUGUGUGUGUGUGUGUGUGUGUGUGUGUGUGUGUGUGUGUGUGUGUGUGUGUGUGUGUGUGGCGCUGGUGGAGAGAGCAAGAGGGAGUGUGGUUGUCCUAUUGGCUCUCACAGGUAACUGAUAUUUCACUUUGUAAUCAACUGCUUUGUACUACUUUGUUCUUCUACCUUUGUCUAAUUUUUUUGGUCUGAGAGAAAAUAGGACGAAGCA